CAAUGGCGGCAGUUUGGCCAACUUGACAGAUGCCAUGAGUGAUGUCAGGUGGGUAAUGAGAUCCAGAUCCGGACCUUUUGACUGUUGUAACGCCUGAUGACAUCCCAGCACAUGUACUUCAUGCGCCUGUGGUUGUACCGUCCGGUGCGAUUGCGGUCCUAGCAGCUCAGGUUGCUGCUGUGCUAGCUUCUGCAGCUUCUCCUCCACAUUACCCGACGAAAAAGCCGCUGACGUGGGAGCCGCAGAACCAACUGCAUGAGCAGCAGCAGUAUCAGUAGUAGGAGUAGCAGCAAUCCCAGUCGCACUCGCAACAGUUGCAGUAGCAACAGUUGCGGUAGAAUCGGUUGCAGCAUCAUGCGGGAGAGGUGGUGGGGAUGUUGGGUGGAGUAUGUCUCCAGUGGUCACGGACACGGCGGCCACAAGGGCCAGUUGCCAGGCGGAUAUGUACUUGUAACGCUCCAGGAGGGCCUUGACCUUGCGGCAUACGUGCGGGAUGUCGCUGCAUGGCAAGAUCAGGGAGUAAGACAAAGAAGAUAAGAAGGAGGAAAGACGAACCACGAACGAGUGAAGCUGCUGCCAAGGAACAGAACUAUAUAGAAGAGUGGGGGAUGAACUAUGAAUUAGGGGAGAGGAAAGGAAGUAGGGAAAGGAAGGUAAGACAGACCGAACUCAAGUGUAAGCGAAACCAUGGAGCCGGGAUUUGAUGGAUUAAAUGUACGGAUUGGCGCCAAGCGUAAACAAGGGAUAAGUGUGAGAAGUUGGUCGUGUGUCCCAUGCAACAGCGCCGGAGUAAGUCUGCUGACCUUUACUCCUCUUAGGGUCCUGGCUGUCUUGCAGUCUGAAGCCCUCUUCCUAAGAUCCCAGGUCCAUAGCCAUGACUGUGCAGCUGUGCAUGUCUCCUUCACGCAAGUGCAAGCCCCUGUUUACAAACCCUGCAUCCGAGCAAGCCUUCUCCCUCUCUCCUGAGACCCAGGAUUCGAGCCACGUUUCGGUCCCCUCAUCCCGCGCCUCUCCUUUACUUCCCCCAGGAGCUUCAAGCAGUUCGCGACCUAGGGUUUCAAUCGCAGUUGGGUCUUUGUUCCUUGCAUAUGAUUCUUCCCUAUCCCUCAGGAACGCGGUACAACCUGUAUCGCUCUCCAGCCCACAGCUCCGCCGGCGGUGCCAGUUG
rnacentral:lncRNA from 1 species